UGCUCAUUUUAGAUGAAAAUGGGCACUGUUCGUGGUGUGCAGAAAUUGCUAAUGUGGCUACUUUGGGACACAGGUUAUGCUUCUAUGACAGGACGUUUAUUGCAGGGGUGACCGCACCUGUAAUAUUU